rnacentral:tRNA from 2 species
GCGACCGUGGCGGAAUGGCAGACGCGCUAGACUUAGGAUCUAGUCUCUAACCAGGUGGGAGUUCAAGUCUCUUCGGUCGCACCA